UCUCGCGUGUUCCGUAACUUUUGUCGGCACCAGUACGCGUGUGUGUUUGCCGCCCAAGCACAGGCUGUUUUCUUCGUGCAUCACUACUGCUGCUAUCAGCAGAGACCAGGAAGGCGACCAACAACACGGGGUCCAAAGUCGUCGAGAAAGCUUACCUAAGAUGGCGCUGGUACGGUCGCAUCACCCACUUGAAGGAACUCCACACCAGCAACUUGUCUACUAGGACACAUGCUCACUACGACCUCCGAUGGUGAAAC